UACGUAGGCAGCAAGCGUUGUUCGGAGUUACUGGGCGGAAAGGGUGUGUAGGCGGUUCUUUAAGUUUGGUGUGAAAUCUCCCGGCUUAACCGGGAGGGUGCGCCGAAUACUGAGGGACUAGAGUACGGGAGAGGAAAGUGGAAUUCCUGGUGUAGCGGUGAAAUGCGUAGAUAUCAGGAGGAACACCGGUGGUGUAGACGGCUUUCUGGACCGUAACUGACGCUGAGACACGAAAGCGUGGGUAGCAAACAGG
rnacentral:rRNA from 1 species